ensembl:lncRNA
AUAGGUCGAGGUUUUAUGAUUUUUUUUACCCUUGUGGUCUCAAAUGAAAGGUGUAAGAUUACGCUGACGUUCAGUUUCAAUUAAAAAGCCCUACUUCCUCAUAUAGCACACAGAGAGCCGCUUACACCUUGUAUCGAGGUUCAAGUUGUGCUUCAAGGAAAGAUGCUUCACAUAAUACUGUUGAUUGGACUGUUUUGUCGCUCUGCUUGUCAAAGCACUACAGCUACAGGCCUCCAAACAUUUGCAGUACUGAGGGUUGUUGUCGUGUCCCAUGAAGAUAUGAAUGUAACGACUGCACAAACUACUUUGGAUAAGAUCGCGUCCCUGCUCCUACUAGGCCCAGAUGUACAACUAUCAGUGAGGAGUAUUCAGCGCAUUUAUUUUUCCACAUGACGACCUAGUCAUGUAGCCAUAUCUAUUCAAUCAAUCACUUCAACAACGCCUUUUGUGUCAUUCUCUCUAUAGCAGAAGAAAAAAACAAUGACUAUAAGUGUAUGGUAAGCCUAUGGAUCAAAUUAAUAAACAGCGGAACAAAGUAAUACUUUGUUUAUAUCCUUGGAAUCUUAAAAUCAACCAAAGGUGAAGGGGUUGGCACACGGUUUUUAAAGGGUUAUUCUGGAGUUAUGUAAAGGUAUGUAACUUUUGUGGUAAAAAUGUUUGUAGACGUAUCUGUAAUAAGUAAAAGCCAUGUAGGCUACUGUAAUUCUGAAGAUUUCCCCAGUGUUAAUGUGCAUUCUGUUUCUCUAAUUUCAGCCUUUCAGUGCAUUUGUUUACAUUUUCUGGCUCUGAAAAUAAAUGUAAAUAAAUGCACUGAAUACACUGCAAGCAAAGAACC